GAUGAACGCUGGCGGCGUGCUUAACACAUGCAAGUCGAACGGAAAGGCCAGUGCUUGCACUGGUGCUCGAGUGGCGAACGGGUGAGUAACACGUGGGUGAUCUGCCCUGCACUUUGGGAUAAGCCUGGGAAACUGGGUUUAAUACCAGAUAGGACCAUGCUUUGGAUGGUGUGGUGGAAAGUUUUUUCGGUGUGGGAUGAGCUUGCGGCCUAUCAGCUUGUUGGUGGGGUAAUGGCCUACCAAGGCGUCGACGGGUAGCCGGCCUGAGAGGGUGUACGGCCACAUUGGGACUGAGAUACGGCCCAGACUCCUACGGGAGGCAGCAGUGGGGAAUAUUGCACAAUGGGCGCAAGCCUGAUGCAGCGACGCCGCGUGGGGGAUGACGGCCUUCGGGUUGUAAACUCCUUUCGCAACUGACGAAGCUUUUUGUGACGGUAGGUUGAGAAGAAGCACCGGCUAACUACGUG
rnacentral:rRNA from 1 species